GAGUAUCCGUUGAUCAAUUAGAUAGUAAAGGCUGGGAGGUAAUACUAGUUAAUUAAUAGCUAAUUCAUAUUAAAACUCGAAUUAUGAAAUUAGUUAAUCUUCUAUUCAUUAAUUAGGGAUUUAAUCGAUCAUAGGCUAGAGGCUUACAUUAUUGACACUAGGAUAGGAAAUUUCAUUAGGUUAAUUGUAACGCUCGGGUUUG
rnacentral:lncRNA from 1 species